GGCUAGUUGGGGAGACCCUGGAAGAAGUCCUGACUAAGAAGGAACAGCAAGCAGAAGAAGAAGUCUGUGCUGUGAAGAACUGCCCCCAAGAAAUAUCACUGAGAAGAUUGCUGGCACCACUCAUCUGUUCAAUUCCUGGGAUCCACCAACAGAAACACCUGCAUUCACAACAGCUGUCUCCCUUUCCCUCCACUUCUGGCUUAUUCAGAAGGAAGUGCCUGAACCCUCAAAUCCAGAGAAUGCCAAGGAUUUAUGAUCCAUUGGAAAACUCAUCCAGCUCCCAGGCUUUCCUUUGGUGCUGGUUUAAAGUCUGAGCUGCUAUAAUAUGAGAGCUCUUAUUAUAAAAACACUGCUGAGCAGGAGGAAUCCCAGAUAUGACAUUCGAUCAAAGCUGAGUGUCACAAUGAGCGUCUCUUCAUUUCUGCACAGCUGAAAGGCAUUUGAAACAAGAGUUUUUGAUGGCCACCCAGAGGUUUAACCAAAUGAUUUCUUUUGAGUCUUCUGUCAGGGUUUUUACCCUCAGUAUCUCAAAUCACUUGAGCCAGAGGAAAUAGGUAAACUAGAUGAGUAGAAUGUCAGAGGAUGAAUGGAAAGAGAAGGUUACUGGAGAAACUUAGGUGCUCUAGUCAGUGAGAAGAGUCUGCUGAUAAAAAAAUGGAGUUAUAAAAGUCUAUUUACAGAUAUUCACAGGACAGGUGCAGCAGACAAUGAACAGUGCUAUCUUUUGAAAGAAAUCAUUAUUUAUAACAAGGGAAUAAAUUAAAUAUUUGCCAUGUCUGCUGUAAUUAACCUCACCCCUGAAACUACCACCAGGAAAAUAAUUCAGGGCAGUGGAGCCACUAUCCCUGGAGGUGUCCAAGAAACAACUGGAUGUGGCAUUUAGUGCUCCAGUCUGGCUGACAAGGUGGUGAUCAGUCAAAUGUUGGACUCAGUGACCUCAGAGGUCUUUCCUAACAUAAGUCAUUCUGUGAUUCUGCAAUUAAAAUGUUUAUUACUGCACGAGGAUGCUUCAUGCUCUUUCAGAAUAGCCUAAAGCUCUCAGAACAUUUUUUACUGUAAUUAUUCAUCCUCCCUCAAAAACCUGAGCUAGUAACACAACACCUCUCGUUAUGUGCACACAGUGACCAUGCUGCUAGGACCCUCUCCAGCCCUCACCUAUCCUCUUCUCCUGUGUUGAAAAAAUGACAACAAAUACCUUUGAAAUGGGCUGUGCCACAGCAGCAAGUCUAAGCCAGCAUUUAGGGUGACUGGGUACACACAAAAUCAGGUCCCCAUUAAGGAACAUGAGAGAUUUUUACACAGCAACAUUUAUGUCUUCUAUAUAUAUGUUGAAUAAUAUCAGCUGAUUCAUUUUUACUCAGAAACCUGUACCUAAUGAUUAACUUUCUACUUCUACUGGUUUGGA